rnacentral:piRNA from 1 species
UGGGUCCCGUGUGAUUGGUUUUAUAUAUA